UACGUAGGGACCGAGCGUUGUCCGGAAUCAUUGGGCGUAAAGAGCGUGUAGGCGGCCUUUUAAGUCCUGCGUGAAAUCCUGCGGCUCAACCGCAGACGGUCGUGGGAAACUGGAAGGCUAGAGUGCGGGAGAGGAGAGUGGAAUUCCUGGUGUAGCGGUGGAAUGCGCAGAUAUCAGGAGGAACACCAAUGGCGAAGGCAGAUCUCUGGGCCGUAACUGACGCUGAGGAGCGAAAGCAUGGGGAGCGAACAGG
rnacentral:rRNA from 1 species